rnacentral:rRNA from 1 species
UACGUAGGGUGCGAGCGUUGUCCGGAAUUAUUGGGCGUAAAGGGCUCGUAGGCGGUUUGUCGCGUCGGGAGUGAAAACUCAGGGCUUAACCCUGAGCCUGCUUCCGAUACGGGCAGACUAGAGGUAUGCAGGGGAGAACGGAAUUCCUGGUGUAGCGGUGAAAUGCGCAGAUAUCAGGAGGAACACCGGUGGCGAAGGCGGGUCUCUGGGCCGUAACUGACGCUGAGGCACGAAAGCGUGGGGAGCGAACAGG